rnacentral:rRNA from 1 species
AGUGAACGCUGGCGGCGUGCCUAACACAUGCAAGUCGAACGGGCUAGUGCUUCGCACUAGUCUCUUUCUGGGGUUGUUACUCUAAGGCUACCUGCUAAAGUUAUUGCUUUAAAGCAGGGGUUUUAGGAGACUUUCCCCGAAAGGGGCCAGUGCGGAGCACUGGCCAGUGGCGAACGGGUGAGUAACACGUGGGUAAUCUACCCUCGAGUGGGGAAUAAGCUUCCGAAAGGGGGUCUAAUGCCGCAUAACGUUUCAUAACGAUGGUUAUGAAACCAAAGCCCAAAAGGCGCUCGAGGAGGAGCCUGCGUCCUAUCAGCUUGUUGGCAGGGUAAUGGCCUACCAAGGCUAUGACGGGUAGCCGGCCUGAGAGGGUGUCCGGCCACACUGGAACUGAGACACGGUCCAGACUCCUACGGGAGGCAGCAGUGGGGAAUUUUGCGCAAUGGGGGAAACCCUGACGCAGCGACGCCGCGUGGAGGAUGACGGCCUCGGUUGGUAACUUACCGUCGUUCACGAAGGACGGAACUACCG